rnacentral:rRNA from 1 species
GUGAGUAGUUCAGAGUUUGAUCCUGGCUCAGGAUGAACGCUGGCGGCGUGCAUAACACAUUCAAGUCGGACGGUGACGCACCUUCGGGUGCUGAUCAGUGGCGGACGGUGAGUAACGCGUGAGCAAUCUGCCCUAUACUCAGGGAUAACACAGGGAAACUUGUGCUAAUACCUGAUGACAUAUACGGAUCGCAUGUUCUGUAUAUCAAAGCUCCGGUGGUAUAGGAUGAGCUCGCGUAUGAUUAGAUAGUUGGCAGGGUAACGGCCUACCAAGUCUACGAUCAUUAGCCGAACUGAGAGGUUGAACGGCCACAUUGGAACUGAGAAACGGUCCAG